rnacentral:rRNA from 1 species
GAUGAACGCUGGCGGCAUGCCUAAGACAUGCAAGUCGAACGAAGCGGCCCAAUGAAGAAUGCGAGCUUGCUCAAAUUUAGAUUUGGAUAACCACUUAGUGGCGCAAGGGUGAGUAACGCGUAGGUAAUCUACCUUCGAGUCUGGAAUAACAGUUAGAAAUGAUUGCUAAUGCCGGAUGAAAUGGGAAACGAUACGUCAUUUUUUAUUAAAAGGUGCCUUUAAAGCAUCGCUUGAAGAUGAGCCUGCGUACGUAUUAGUUAGUUGGUGGGGUAAUGGCCUACCAAGACAACGAUGCGUAGCCGACCUGAGAGGGUGAUCGGCCACACUGGGGACUGAGACACGGCCCAGACUCCUACGGGAGGCAGCAGUAGGGAAUCUUCGGCAAUGGGGGCAACCCUGACCGAGCAACGCCACGUGAGUGAAGAAGGUUUUCGGAUCGUAAAGCUCUGUGUAAGAGAAGAACGUGUGUGAGAGUGGAAAGUUCACACAGUGACGGUAGACCG